GACGAACGCUGGCGGCGUGCUUAACACAUGCAAGUCGAACGGAAAGGCCCUGCUUUUGUGGGGUGCUCGAGUGGCGAACGGGUGAGUAACACGUGAGUAACCUGCCCUUGACUUUGGGAUAACUUCAGGAAACUGGGGCUAAUACCGGAUAGGAGCUCCUGCGGCAUGGUGGGGGUUGGAAAGUUUCGGCGGUUGGGGAUGGACUCGCGGCUUAUCAGCUUGUUGGUGGGGUAGUGGCUUACCAAGGCUUUGACGGGUAGCCGGCCUGAGAGGGUGACCGGCCACAUUGGGCCUGAGAGACGGCCCAGACUCCUACGGGAGGCAGCAGGGGGGAAUAUUGCACAAUGGGCGGAAGCCUGAUGCAGCAGCGCCGCGUGCGGGAUGACGGCCUUCGGGUUGUAAACCGCUUUCGCCUGUGACGAAGCGUGAGUGACGGUAAUGGGUAAAGAAGCACCGGCUAACUACGUG
rnacentral:rRNA from 1 species